rnacentral:rRNA from 1 species
CCUACGGGAGGCAGCAGUCGAGAAUCAUUCACAAUGGGGGAAACCCUGAUGGUGCGACGCCGCGUGGGGGAAUGAAGGUCUUCGGAUUGUAAACCCCUGUCAUGUGGGAGCAAAUUAAAAAGAUAGUACCACAAGAGGAAGAGACGGCUAACUCUGUGCCAGCAGCCGCGGUAAUACAGAGGUCUCAAGCGUUGUUCGGAAUCACUGGGCGUAAAGCGUGCGUAGGGUGUUUCGUAAGUCGUGUGUGAAAGGCGCGGGCUCAACCCGCGGACGGCACAUGAUACUGCGAGACUAGAGUAAGGGAGGGGGGACCGGAAUUCUCGGUGUAGCAGUGAAAUGCGUAGAUAUCGGGAGGAACACUCGUGGCGAAGGCGGGUUCCUGGACAUUAACUGACGCUGAGGCACGAAGGCCAGGGGAGCGAAAGGGAUUAGAUACCCGUGUAGUC